rnacentral:rRNA from 1 species
AGUGGCGGACGGGUGAGUAACGCGUGAGAAUCUGCCUUGGGGUCGGGGACAACCACUGGAAACGGUGGCUAAUACCGGAUAAGCCGAUUGGUGAAAGAUUUAUUGUCCGAAGAGGAGCUCGCGUCUGAUUAGCUAGUUGGUGAGGUAAGAGCUCACCAAGGCAGCGAUCAGUAGCUGGUCUGAGAGGACGAUCAGCCACACUGGGACUGAGACACGGCCCAGACUCCUACGGGAGGCAGCAGUGGGGAAUUUUCCGCAAUGGGCGAAAGCCUGACGGAGCAAGACCGCGUGAGGGAGGAAGGCUCUUGGGUUGUAAACCUCUUUUCUCAGGGAAGAAGCUCUGACGGUACCUGAGGAAUCAGCCUCGGCUAACUCCGUGCCAGCAGCCGCGGUAAUACGGAGGAGGCAAGCGUUAUCCGGAAUUAUUGGGCGUAAAGCGUCCGCAGGUGGCGAUUCAAGUCUGCUGUCAAAGCACGGGGCUUAACUCCGUAAAGGCAGUGGAAACUGAAUAGCUAGAGUGCCGUAGGGGUAGAGGGAAUUCCCGGUGUAGCGGUGAAAUGCGUAGAGAUCGGGAAGAACAUCGGUGGCGAAAGCGCUCUACUGGACGGCAACUGACACUCAGGGACGAAAGCUAGGGGAGCGAAUGGGAUUAGAUACCCC